AUGCUCAAAUAAAUUUGUUAAUCUCUAAGGUGCCACAAGUACUCCUUUUCUUUUUGUGGAUACAGACAAACACGGCUGCUACUCUGAAACAUGUAAAUACAGUGUGUUCCUAGAGCCUCUCACCAUCCCAGCUAGCUGUAAGGGGAAUUCAUUCAGACCCUGAUUACACCAAAAAUUAGUUGAAAGAAAAGAUCUUUGUUAAAGAUUCAGCAAUGCACCCAUGCCUUCGUUUAAGGGCUGAGAAAGCUCUCAUACUAGUUCCCUGGGGCCUUUAAGAAGACUUCUAGCAAAAAAAAGAGAAGACAAGAUUUGAUAUUCCUAAGAGUUGUAAGAAUGGGGCUGGGGGGAAAAGAAAAAGAAAAAAAAAAGGGCCUGUUUCAGGCCUUUAUUCAUGAUAAAGAAACAAAGAAAAGAAGCCUAUACCCAAUUAUUGUCCUUUUCAGGUCACAGAGCAACAUAAAAGAACAAUUGAGGACAAAAAGGGAAGAAUACUGUAUCCAAAUGAAAUACAGGGGGAAAUCAGGAGAUAAUGUCAAAUUUAAUUUUCCAAAUUGGAAAUUCCCGUCACUAAUAUUAACACUUCUACUCUUACAAAAACAGUUUAGUGUCUUAUGACCACAACUGUUCAGAACCUAGGCUGCAUGGCUAUUUCUAAUAUGAGACAGUCUUUUUUUUUUAUUUCCACCAAUUUUAGUGUGCCAUAUGAGUAAAGAACAGUGCCUGACCUUCCUCUGCAAACAAACAGCAUGGUUGUACUUCCUGGCUGGGACACCGCAGGAGAAGGCAUGCCAGAGACAGAGGAAGAAGAGAUUUGAGUUACAGGCAUUAGGAGAGGGAACCGCAGAGUGAACCCAGCUACUAGACCACACCCACUUCAGAUGUAUAGGAGAAAGACUCCUGAACCAGGAAGUGACUAGGCACCUUGGGGAAGCAGCAGCCACAUGAUGACCCCGGAACUGGAGAGAAGCUGAAUGUAGAGAGGAGUCCCCAGGAACUGUAUACAGAGCUACAUGUGGAACAGGCUGAGUGUGCCAGACAUUACAGCUGUGUGGAGGUCUGUAUGGGGCUUAUGGGGGAGCAGCAGAGUAGAUAGCCAGUGCAGAGGUGCCCCCAUGAGAGAGACUCCACUAAAUGAGCCUGGCCUGCAAGUUCCUAUUUGCUAGAAUAGUAGGGUGACCAGAUGAAACGGACAAAAUAUUGGGACACAUGGGGGAAGCAAAAAAAAAAAAACCUGCCAGAGCAGCCAAAGCCGCAAUAUCGGGACAAAUGGCGUCCCGACUGUGCAUCGGUUGGGACACGGGACAAAGAACUAAAAAUCGGGACGUCUGGUCACCCUAUAGAAUAGAGACUGGACUGGAGAGGGCACCCCAGUCACUGGGCCUGAAGAGCCCUGUCAAUUGGACUGCCUCCCCUCCCCCAAGCCCAAACAAGAGCCACUAUUGCUCACUGUGAACUGUAACUGUUUAAGUUUUCUGUACCUAGGGUAUCUAGACUGCAACCUUGCCUUUUCCUGCCAACCCAGGUAAAAUACCCUUUCACUAAGCCAUGUGUCAGAGUGGUUACCGGGGCUAGCUGCUGAGGUAGGGUUGCCAACUUUCUAAUUGCACAAAGCUGAACACCCUAACCCCGUCCGUUCCCUGAGGCCCCAACCCCCACUCACUACAUUUCCCCCUCCCUUGGUGGUUCGCUCUCCCGCACCCUCACUCACUUUCACUGGGCUGGGGCAAGGGGUUGCAG